CAUUGGACAAUUUGUAAUGUACAAUUAUCUAUAUAAACUCAUACAUGCCAACUUUCCCGAUUUAGGCGGGAUCUUCCCGAUUUUACCCUCCGGUCCCGCUUUCCCGAUCGGGAAAGCAAAAUUACCCUAAAAUCCCGAUUUGAAAUUUUUUCCGACCAAAAUUUCCGAUUUCACGAUUGAAAGCGGGAUAAUCGUGAAAUCUCGUGACCAGAAUUGGAAAUCCCGCGUCAUUUCUGAACUGGCCAAUCAGAAAUCGGGACAAUAGUCAGCCAUUGCUGUUUACCUGUGUCGCAUGGUGUCGGGUUGGUCUGCCUGUGUCGGGGUGUUUAUUGGCAUGUUUUGGUAGUAAUUAAUUGGGAAGACGGAUUUCAAAUUGACCUAUCCUUUACACAAACGUGAAUGACAACGAUGCUAGUGUCACCACCAAACAAUCGGACAUUCCGCCUCUCGCUGACAGCAUCCAAAAUUUGCAAUAAGAUGUCAUGGGUGCAAAGGUUUUGUUCGCAAACUUCAUAGCAGGGCAGAUCACUCCUUUUUUGGUUGCAAUGCAGAUUAUUCCACCAGUCUCUGCAAGCCCAUGUUUACAGACAAGCAAGAUCGCCUUUGCAGUCGUACCUAAAUGCAUGUGCUUUAAUUUAAAUUUUGAUAUAUAGACCGGCCAAUGUUUAUUGUAUGGUGUAAAAGGAUGCAACCUUAAAUAUUAUUUUAUAUUAUGUAUGUGACUUGUUGGAGAAGAUUUUUUGCUGAAUAGAUGAUUUUAAUAAAAUAUUAAUGUAUAUC